UACGAAGGGGGCUAGCGUUGUUCGGAAUUACUGGGCGUAAAGCGGGUGUAGGCGGAUCUUUAAGUCGGAGGUGAAAGCCCAGGGCUCAACCUUGGAAUUGCCUUCGAUACUGGAGAUCUGGAGUGUGGGAGAGGUGAGUGGAAUUCCGAGUGGAGAGGUGAAAUUCGUAGAUAUUCGGAGGAACACCAGAGGCGAAGGCGGCUCACUGGACCACUACUGACGCUGAGACCCGAAAGCGUGGGGAGUAAACAGG
rnacentral:rRNA from 1 species